rnacentral:lncRNA from 1 species
CAAACAGCUUUGAGUCAACAGUGCCUCUCCAUCUCUCUUUACAGGGGCCCAAGAUGGGUCGUCGAGCUCAACAGGAAUCAACUCAGGUCGAGAAUCCUCUCAUUGGCAAGAAUUCCUCUUUGACUCUGACUGGAGAGCUUCUAGAGCAAAGAGAAGAAAGCAGAGGAUCCCAGCUCUGAGAGUCUAGUGCAGAGGUCUCAAACCUUCUUAAUUUGUCAGGGCUGCUGUAACAAAUACUACACACUGCUUGGCUUGAACAAAAGGAAUUUAUUGUCUCACAGUUUUGGAGGCCAGAAGUCCAAAAUCAAAGGGUCAGUAGGAUUGUGCUUUC